rnacentral:sRNA from 1 species
AUUAGCUAGUGUGUAU